AUGGCGUUUCUGCGAAGAAUUCCUUCACUUUCAAAGUUAUUUCGUUGGUUUUCCACCGUUUCUGUUAUCUCAAAGAGGCGUUACAAGCACAUUGAGGAUCUUUAACAAUCAGUGAAGUUGACAUCAAAGAUGCCCUGUACAAAGAAGACAGCCAACAGACAGCAAACAGACUAGAUCUUACAUAACAAAUAUGUAUGGCUGUUUGCAAAAUGGCUAAUGCUUAUGUGGCCUUGGGGUGGCAUGGGUUUCCAGUGACAACUGUAAAAGUAUUUUAUAAUUGUACAUUAUACUUAGUAUGAGCUUCCUAGCCUAUGUGAAUGUAAUUAUAAUUUGAACAUGUAUUAAAAUAAAAAGAACAAAACAAAA